CAUGUGGUUUAAUUCGAUGAUACGCGAGGAACCGUUACCUGGGCUCGAACGUAAGAUGACUGUAGGUGAAAGCUUACAUCUCUUCGGAGCAUUUUACGAGGUGCUGCAUGGUUGUCGUCAGCUCGUGCCGUGAGGUGUCGGGUUAAGUCCCAUAACGAGCGCAACCCCUACCUUUAGUUGCCAUCAGGUUAAGCUGGGACUCUAAAGGAACUGCCUACGCAAGUAGUGAGGAAGCGGGGAUGACGUCAAAUCAGCACGGCCCUUACGUCCAGGGCUACACACGUGCUACAAUGGCCGGUACAGAGGGCAGCUACCUGGUGACAGGAUGCAAAUCUCCAAAGUCGGUCUCAGUUCGGAUCGGAGUCUGCAACCCGACUCCGUGAAGUUGGAUUCGCUAGUAAUCGCGCAUCAGCCAUGGCGCGGUGAAUACGUUCCCGGGCCUU
rnacentral:rRNA from 1 species